UACAGACAGACAGAGUCCCUUCCCCUUCUUAACCUUCACCUUUCUUGACUUCCCCUUCCAUAGUCAGACCCCUUCCCCACCAGGUUAGGCCCCCCUUGGGACCCCCCUGGCCCCUCUUUUGUCUUCUGUGAAGACAGGACCUAUGCAACGCACAGACACUUUUGGAGACCGUAACAACAACGCCCCCUCCCUUCCAGCCCUGAGCCUGGAACCAACUCCCAGGACCUUGCCCUGCCCACCCUCUGGUCCCCACCCAUCCUGGGCCUUUUUCAAGUGCUUUGGCUGUGACUUUCAUACUCUGCUCUUAGUCUAAAAAAAAAAAAAAUAAACUGGAGAUAAAAAUAACUGAGUGUGUGUGGUUUCAAGGGGCUAUGUCCCUCUGUUUCACUGGCUGAACCCUGUAGGGCUCAGGUCCUGGGCGAGCAGGCAUUCUAGGUUAGAGUCCAUGGAGUGCUGGCUCUGGGGUCCAGUUCUGUGUGGAGAGAGGGACAGAGCUUCAAGUUGAGCCUGGGUGAUUUGGGGCAGGUUCCUUUACCUUUCUAGGCUCAGGCUUCCCGCAGGGAGAGCGGUGUGAGUACCCAUUUCCCAGAGUUAAGGCUCAGACUGGUGUGCUCUAUGCUGUAGUCAGAAGCUUUUGGCUGGGUCCAAGGAUUUCAGGGGAUUUGUGAACCUAGAUAGGAAAAAAAAAGUUACAUCGUUAUUUUCACUCACCUGUGACAAAUUUAACAUUCCCUAUGUACUUGGGCAACCGGCCACAAUAGCAUUAACAGUAUGUGUGACUUUGUAGCCAACGGAAAUCCCAGAUGUUUUCAAACCUGCUUUAUAUCUCAGAAUAUCACUUAUGUGUCACUACUUUGAAAUGAUCAUAGUUGUUAGACUUUACUUGUUUUUAACAUGUUAAUAAAGAAACAUAUAUAUUACAUACC
rnacentral:lncRNA from 1 species